CAUUGAGAAGCUAUAAAACAUUAACCUUUUAAGUUAAAGACUGAGAGUGUAAGCCUCUCCUCAAUGA
rfam:Canis lupus familiaris chromosome 1, whole genome shotgun sequence.